rnacentral:rRNA from 1 species
GAUGAACGCUAGCGGGAGGCUUAACACAUGCAAGCCGAGGGGUAUAGUUCUUUCGGGAACUAGAGACCGGCGCACGGGUGCGUAACGCGUAUGCAACUUGCCCUACUGAAAAGGAUAGCCCUUCGAAAGGAGGAUUAAUACUUUAUAACAGAUUUAAUGGCAUCAUUAGAUUUUGAAAGAUUUAUCGCAGUAGGAUAGGCAUGCGUAAGAUUAGUUAGUUGGUGAGGUAACGGCUCACCAAGACGAUGAUCUUUAGGGGGCCUGAGAGGGUGAACCCCCACACUGGUACUGAGACACGGACCAGACUCCUACGGGAGGCAGCAGUGAGGAAUAUUGGACAAUGGGUGGAAGCCUGAUCCAGCCAGCCCGCGUGUAGGAUGACGGCCUUAUGGGUUGUAAACUACUUUUAUCUGGGGAUAAACCUACUUACGUGUAAGUAGCUGAAGGUACCAGAAGAAUAAGCACCGGCUAACUCCGU